rnacentral:lncRNA from 1 species
UCAACAUGACCCCUGAACGAGGUAUUAUUAAUCAUCUCCAGCAUUCCACGUAUCCAUGCUGCAUGCUAAACCAUUCUAGAACAUAUAGAAAUACAUUCCAAAAUGUCCACUAAGGAAACUUUCCUUGAAUUUGAAGCUGACAACUUCCCACGGUCACAAAUGCCCCUAAUGCCUUCCAUUACUCCUUGCUGGGCUGGAGCCCUGCUUGGGAUCAUUUCAGGAGUAACAAGCACCAGGAGCCCAAGGAAGCCUCGGUGUACCCCAUGGGUACAUGGUGCCUGCUCUGGAACAGGGCCAGCUUCCUUUGUAGCUAAGUGCAGCCACGUUCUGGCCAAUGGAAAACGACUGGUGGAGCUGGGUAAACUUACAGAUCACAUCAUUUAAAGAAACUGCCUCUACCUCCCCUCUCCCCUGCUGUGGGCUGCAAAGGGAAUGGAGAGUCAGCUUCGGCCCUGAAGCAACACCCCAGCGUGAGGCACAGCAACAAAGCAGAAGGAAUCUGGGUCUCUGGACAACCUCAUGGGGCAGAGCUACCCUGGACCACCUCCUCUGGACUCUCACAGAAGAGAAAAACACCCUUGUAGCUUGUUUACUGCCUUCCAGGACUUCUGUUCCAGCACCUUCACCUAUACCCCGACUAGUACGCUCUUCAACCUUUGCAGUCACUUUGCACAACAGGGCUGGCCUCUCUUCCUUGCAAUAAAGACCCCUGCCCAACAGAAUUGCCAGGAGCCAAGUGUGGAGGGGGACAGCACAGACCAUGUCCAAAGAUGACACCAGGGGUCCAACAGAACCAUUUGUGAGCCCUGGAGCUAGACCUGGGGGCAAAGCUUGCUAGGCCAGGAGCUGGCAGGCAUUGGAA